UGUUAAAAAUUUCAUCCAUUUAUACUAUUAAAAAUUUGUGUAGUUGACGGGAUAACCAAACAGUGACAUGUGGUGUGCUAUGUGUAUCUCAUGUUAACAUACAAGGACUAGUUUUUAACAAUAGAAAUUGAAGAAAAUUUUAACA
rfam:Gossypium hirsutum cultivar TM-1 chromosome 22, whole genome shotgun sequence